CAUACUGUUCGCAUGGUAGUGAAUAAGUCUCAUGAGAUCUGAUGGUUUUAUCAGGGGGUUCUGCUUUUGCAUCUUCCUCAUUUUUCUCUUGCCACCACCAUGUUAAGAAGAGCCUUUUGCCUCCCACCAUGAUUCUGAGGCCUCCCCAGCCAUGCAGAACUCAAAUGAUGAGCCCGAGGGCAGACAGCAGUAAGACUCCACCUCCCACCGCUGCGAUGAGGAUGACAGUCAAGUCUGUGAGCAGAGACAUAAAGAGACAGAUGAAGAGGCAGCUGGGGCUGGAGUGCAGUGUCAUGAUCUAGGCUUACUCCAACCUCUGCCCCCCGGGUUCAAGCGAUUCUCAAGCCUCAGCAUCCUGCGUAGCUGGGAUUACAGAUGCUGGUGAAACAACAGUGAGGAGAGCCUGGGAGAAUGUGAGAAACAAGCACUAACACACUGAUGGCUGGAAAGCACACCAGGACAGGCUCUCCACAGGUGACAUGGAAAGACGCAUCCAAAGCCCUAAGAACCUCUCUACUCUUCAUCCCAGCAAUUCUGCUUCCAGAACAUGGAAAUACGCAACUAAAGCCCUAAGAGCCUCUCUACUCUUCAUCCCAGCAACUCUGCUUCCAGAACACGGAAAUACGCGUGCAAAGACCUAAGAACCUCUCUACUCUUCAUCCCAGCAACUCUGCUUCCAGAACGUGGAAAUGCGCGUCCAAAGCCCUAAGAGCCUCUCUACUCUUCAUCCCAGCAACUCUGCUUCCAGAACUGUAGCUGGACAAAAUAGUUAAGAAUGUUCAGAACAUGGGCGCGGUGGCUCACGCCUGUAAUCCCAGCACUUCAGGAGGCCGAGGCGGGCAGAUCACCUGAGGUCAGGAGUUUGAGACGAGCCUGGCUAAUAUGGUGAAACCCCGUUUCUACUAAAAAUACAAAAAAUUAGCUGGGUGUGGUGGUGCACACCUGUAAUCCCAGCUACUCAGGAGGCUGAGGUAGGAGAAUAGCUUGAACCUGGGAGACGGAGGUUGCAGUGAGCCGAGAUCGCGCCAUUGCACUCCAGCUUGGGCAAUAAGAGUGAAACUCUGUCUCAAAAAUUUAAAAAAAGAGUGUGCAGAACAACACAGCUGAAGAACACAUUCUUAGAUACAUCAAAAUGGGAUAAUCCAGUUGAUACCAUUUUAUAACCUUGGCAACAUGAGGAUAAUGGUUCAUCCUUUCAUGUCAUUUUCUAGUCUGUGCUAUGUAAUUUCAAGUGCCUUUUCACUGAAUAGACCUAUUAAAAUUGAUACAAGCAGCUGGC
rnacentral:lncRNA from 1 species